UGGAGAUAGAAUGAUUUUUUAUUUGCACAAAGCCACACACAACUGAUAUUGGCUAAACAGAUAAUUAACUUUGUUUGCACCAAUUAGCAUGCUUGUCAGGUGGAAAUAUGUGCAUCCAGGCACACUUGAACAUCUGGGUGGGAAGGAUGGAACAAGUGCGGUUAACAAUUUCAGUCUGAUAAUUUGAUGUCCGUUUUUAUCAAUUGAUAAUCCAUAUAUGUUUAAAACAUAUUUUCUUCAGCAAUUUAGAGAUUUCAGUCCAGCCUCCCGACUCCUGAAUACAAUGUCUUAUCAUGUUCUCAGGUUUUAAAGCAUAUAAGGUAAAAGUAUCGAUCUUAGUUUUUUUACACCUUUAUGCUUCACAGUAUAUAGUGUUUUGCAUGAUGAAAACAUUGAGGAUUUUACUGAUGCAUAACCUGGUGCACUUGCAAGUAAAAUUGCUCAGAGUUGUUUUAGUUAGGCCAAACACUGCGAUAGCACAACCUGUCUCUAAUUAGGCAUCAUUGAAUUUUAUGGGUCAAGAAGCUUUAAUGAAGCUCAUCGAUAAUUUCAUAGGUUGUAGUCAUGGUGGGUUGAUACUAUUUUUGGUGUCUUCUGAUAUCCUUCCUGUGAUUUUUAAUUACAAUUAUUUUGUGUUGUUGCAAUGCAGCAGGUUCAUAGUCUGAUGGGGAUGCUUAUAUUUGUUGAUGACACUGAGAUUUAAAUAAAUAUAGAAGAUGAAGACUUUGGUGUCAUAAUUUAAGAAAAAAGCAAGACUAAGAUGAUGGUAGCCAUGCGUAGG
rnacentral:lncRNA from 1 species